UUUCUUGAGUCGCGAACGGGUGAGUAACGCGUAGGUAACCUGCCUAUUAGCGGGGGAUAACUAUUGGAAACGAUAGCUAAUACCGCAUAAUAUUAAUUAUUGCAUGAUAAUUGAUUGAAAGAUGCAAGCGCAUCACUAGUAGAUGGACCUGCGUUGUAUUAGCUAGUUGGUAAGGUAAGAGCUUACCAAGGCGACGAUACAUAGCCGACCUGAGAGGGUGAUCGGCCACACUGGGACUGAGACACGGCCCAGACUCCUACGGGAGGCAGCAGUAGGGAAUCUUCGGCAAUGGACGAAAGUCUGACCGAGCAACGCCGCGUGAGUGAAGAAGGUUUUCGGAUCGUAAAGCUCUGUUGUAAGUCAAGAACGUGUGUGAGAGUGGAAAGUUCACACAGUGACGGUAGCUUACCAGAAAGGGACGGCUAACUACGUGCCAGCAGCCGCGGUAAUACGUAGGUCCCGAGCGUUGUCCGGAUUUAUUGGGCGUAAAGGGAGCGCAGGCGGUCAGGAAAGUCUGGAGUAAAAGGCUAUGGCUCAACCAUAGUGUGCUCUGGAAACUGUCUGACUUGAGUGCAGAAGGGGAGAGUGGAAUUCCAUGUGUAGCGGUGAAAUGCGUAGAUAUAUGGAGGAACACCAGUGGCGAAAGCGGCUCUCUGGUCUGUCACUGACGCUGAGGCUCGAAAGCGUGGGUAGCG
rnacentral:rRNA from 1 species